AGUGAACGCUGGCGGCAGGCCUAAUACGUGCAAGUCGAACGGCAGCACAGUAAGCUCUCGCUCUUACGGGUGGCGAGUGGCGGACGGGUGAGGAAUACAUCGGAAUCUACUUUUUCGUGGGUGAUAACGUAGGGACACUUACGCUAAUACCGCAUACGAUCUACGGGUGAAAGCAGUGGAUCUUCGGACCUUUCGCGAUUGAAUGAGCCGAUGUCGGAUUAGCUAGUUGGCAGGGUAAAGGCCCACCAAGGCGACGAUCCGUAGCUGGUCUGAGAGGAUGAUCGGCCACACUGGAACUGAGACACGGUCCAGACUCCUACGGGAGGCAGCAGUAGGGAAUAUUGGGCAAUGGGCGAAAGCCUGAUGCAGCAAUGCCGCGUGGGUGAAGAAGGCCUUCGGGUUGUAAAGCCCUUUUGUUGGGGAAGAAAAACAGCGGAUGAAUACACCGCUGUUCUGACGGUACCCAAAGAAUAAGCACCGGCUAACUUCGUG
rnacentral:rRNA from 1 species